UACGGAGGGUGCAAGCGUUACUCGGAAUUACUGGGCGUAAAGCGUGCGUAGGCGGUUUGUUAAGUCUGUCGUGAAAGCCCCGGGCUCAACCUGGGAAUGGCGAUGGAAACUGGCGAGCUAGAGUACGGUAGAGGAGAGUGGAAUUCCCGGUGUAGCAGUGAAAUGCGUAGAGAUCGGGAGGAACAUCAGUUGCGAAGGCGGCUCUCUGGACCAGUACUGACGCUGAGGCACGAAAGCGUGGGGAGCAAACAGG
rnacentral:rRNA from 1 species